rnacentral:lncRNA from 1 species
ACUCUGCCAUACAACUCAGACCAAGAAGGUGCAAAGCUUAUCUAAACGCUCUGCCCAGAGUGCUUUACUGGAAGAAGAUAUGGCUGCCAACCAGAAGCCUGGAUUCUAGAACAUUCUGUACUCCAGUCUCAUCUAGGGGAUCAUUCAAGUCUCUGAAGGCCUGCUCCCUCCUCCAGCCCAGAGGGAGUAGAAGUAGGCAGAAGUGAUCCUGGAGCUUCAGUCCCUGCCAAGAGAACGAAGAACUGCUGGCCCUGCUAAGCUGCUGAAGAGCCUACUUUGCAACUCAAUCCAGCUGAAACAAGCCACAGAACCCAGUGGAAACAAAGGGAUGGGUCCUUGGGUUUUCCCAUAUACAUUCAGUGCCGUACAUUAAAAUUUGAGCCUCCAUCAGA